rnacentral:misc_RNA from 1 species
CAUUACACUUCCCACAAUAUUUGAUUCCUAGUCUUGGUGAUCAAAUGAUUGCUUACUAGAGAAGUUUGUUUGGUGUUUGUUGUUUGCUGUAAAUUAUAAAUGGACUCUAUUUACUAUUGGCUGGCUCCUGUUGGAGACAUGCAUAAUCAUAUCUGGUAAGGUUAAUGUGAGUUUCUCUUUUGCUUUGCAGGUUGAGCAUGUGGUUCGGGAAG